rnacentral:tRNA from 1 species
GAGUGUGGCUCCAUGGUAGACUGUUUGCUUAGCAUGCAUGAGGCACUGGGUUCAAUCCCCAGCAACACA